UCAACCUUAUUUAGUUUAAAAUUUUAAAUGGAUCCACGCUCAGCUCAGUGUUCUUGCUUAAAAACACUGAGUGUGUGAGAAGUGAGUGUAGUGUCUGAGAAUUGGUUCGUGGUGUUGGAAGGAAGAAGAUGAGAGGUCAGAUCUUGAUUGUGGGUUGCUUCUUCUGUUUUCUUCUCUUAAGUGCUUCGUUCAUGGAAACCGCCAUGGCCGCCGCAGAUGUGUGCACGAGACCGUGCAGGAAGAGGUGCUCGCAUGCGAAGCUGAAGCGUAAGUGCAUGAAGUUUUGCAGAAUAUGUUGCGGUAAAUGCAAGUGUGUGCCGGGGGCUUAUGGGAAGCGCCACUGCCCUUGCUAUAGCCAUGUGCACACCCUUAGGGGCAGGGCCAAGUGCCCUUGAUUUUAAGGCCAUUGUGGCAUUGUCUCCUUAAAACCAACCUUCCAAGAGACCAAAUAAUUUUGUGUUUGAAUAUGAGUAUUAAAGGUUGAGAGUUUGUGAGUGAAGUUUGGUUGGUUUGAUAAACAUUGUGUAUUUAUGGUAUGUAACUAAGAAAUGUAAUGCUGUUUGGGCUUUUAUUCAAUAAGAAUCAUAAGAAUGUUUUUUUUUU